rnacentral:rRNA from 1 species
UUAGCAAGGUGUGAAUCGUACGGCUCAACCGUAUAACAUGCUUUGAACUGGCAAGCUAGAGUGUAGAAGAGGUUACUGGAAUUUCUAGUGUAGGAGUGAAAUCCGUAGAUAUUAGAAGGAACACCGAUGGCGUAGGCAGGUAACUGGUCUAUUACUGACGCUAAGGCACGAAAGCGUGGGGAGCGAACGGGAUUAGAUACCCCGGUAGUCCACGCCCUAAACUAUGGAUGCUA